GGAUGGGUGGCCGAGUGGCUUAAGGCGCACGCCUGGAAAGCGUGUGGACGGGCAACCGUCUCGCGAGUUCGAAUCUCGCCCCAUCCG
rnacentral:tRNA from 1 species